CUACCUACGGGGGGCAGCAGUAGGGGAUAUUGGACAAUGGGGGGAACCCUGAUCCAGCGACGCCGCGUGAGUGAAGAAGUAUCUCGGUAUGUAAAGCUCUAUCAGCAGGGAAGAAAGAAAUGACGGUACCUGAGUAAGAAGCCCCGGCUAACUACGUGCCAGCAGCCGCGGUAAUACGUAGGGGGCAAGCGUUAUCCGGAAUUACUGGGUGUAAAGGGAGCGUAGACGGUGAAGUAAGUCUGGAGUGAAAGGCGGGGGCUCAACCCCGGUACUGCAUUGGAAACUGGCGGGCUG
rnacentral:rRNA from 1 species